UUGCACAGGUGCUGCAUGGCUGUCGUCAGCUCGUGUCGUGAGAUGUCGGUUAAGUCCGCUAACGAGCGCAACCCUCGCUGUGUGUUACAAGUGUCACACGGUACUGCCGGUCUUAAGCCGGAGGAAGGUGGGGAUGACGUCAAGUCAGCAUGGCCUUUAUGUCCUGGGCUACACACACGCUACAAUGGCCAACACAAUAGGUUGCUAAGCCGCGAGGUGGAGCCAAUCCUCAAAGUUGGUCUCAGUUCAGAUUGCAGGCUGCAACCCGCCUGCAUGAAGAUGGAGUUGCUAGUAACCGCAGGUCAGCUAUACUGCGGUGAAUACGUUCCCGGGGCUU
rnacentral:rRNA from 1 species